GUCCACGCCUUAAACGAUGAAUACUAGACGUUGGGAUAAAACUCAGUGUCGCAGCUAACGCAGUAAGUAUUCCACCUGGGGAGUACGAUCGCAAGGUUGAAACUCAAAGGAAUUGACGGGGCCCGCACAAGCAGUGGAGCAUGUGGUUCAAUUCGAUGCAACGCGAAGAACCUUACCUGGGCUUGACAUGUAAGCUAAGGCGAAUGAAAGUUCGCGUCCCGCAAGGGGAGCUUAUACAGAUGCUGCAUGGCUGUCGU
rnacentral:rRNA from 1 species